CACCCCUCACAAUUUGGGGGAUUCUUCUUCCACAAGAUAGCAUCUACACAUCAACACAUCAUUUCUUCAUUUUUUUUGGCCAUCUUCACAGAAUUCAUUCACACACUAAUACACAAUGCACACACACCCAGAUUUCACAAAAACACUACCUGCAUAUAAACAUAACACACCCUUAUACUGACCUCAUCGUCACACAUCCAUAUACACUACACACUCUUAAUUCCACCGGGAUACACAUAAAAAUGGAUAGUUAAGAGAUGACGUGAGAGAAAAAAAUCGAGAGAGAGAGAGAGAAUUUGAGAGAGAAAAUGGGAGAAGAAAAUGUAGAGGAUGAUCGGUGAUCGGAAAAGGAAAGAAAGUAAGAAAAGGGGAUCUAUGGGGUCAAAAAUUUGACCCGUUUACUUCUAUUUCUUCCACCACUGAGCUCACCGGAGCUCCAGCAAAGUUAAAACAGCAUCCUACCACCUCAAAAUCUGAAAGUUUUGACCAGCUGAGCUUGAUGGAGCUUCGGUGAUAUGAAAACAACGACCCAUCCCCUUCUGCAAUCGAACCCCCAUCGAAAAUCAUAAACAGGUAUUGUUGGUCAUCAUGAAUUUUGUUACAAUUCUGGUGGAAAACAGUAAAGGUAUAUCAAGGUUGGUUUUGUUCGAUUGGAGAGUUCAAGGUCAAGGUUCAUUGAUUCCCGAGGCUCCUUCGGUGUUGAAAUCGGUUCAAGUUGAUUGAAUAAACAAACCUUGAGGUCCAAUUCUAUCUUCUAUCCCUUUAAUUUUACGUAAUCCUGAAUGGUUUGCGUGUUUGAUAGGUGUGAAUCUUUGUUGUGUAUUGUUUGAUGUUGGAGUUGGAUGUGAAAAUUUGAUUGGUGAACCAUGUAUCGAAUUAGUUUAAUCAUGUUGAGAUUGGAUUCAGGGGUGGAAUUAAGAAAUUGACAAAAGGGUAAAUUUGGAUUGAUUAAGACUUUGGUUUAAUUUGGUUUAAGUAUGAAUAUUGUUGAACACGAUAGCAGCAUGAUUAGGUCGUUAAAUAGAUAGAAAAAUUCUAGAUUUUAGGGUAGGAAACUCAUAGGAUUCUAAUCAUCGAAUGUGUAAAUAUUUGUGUUGAGUGUUUUUUCCCAUUUUAUUUCUUUAAAAAUGUACUCAUUUGGCCGGGGAAUGCCCCGAAGGAUUUGUAUUGAUUUAUCUGAGGAAUGCCCCAACAUAUCAAGUAUGCAAAGGAGGUUCGUGAUCAAGUCUUGAGGUAUCAGGUAAGGCAUUGAAGCGUAGUUUUAAGAUUAGCUUAGAAUAGGAUUUAUAUUUUCAUAUUUUUCCUAUUUUUGGACUGUAUAAUUGGAUUGGACAUUAUAUUUUGAAUUUGUUUUGUUUUGUUGUUUGAUUGAUUGUUUUGUA
rnacentral:lncRNA from 1 species